CCUACGGGAGGCAGCAGUGAGGAAUAUUGGACAAUGGGCGCAAGCCUGAUCCAGCCAUGCCGCGUGCAGGAAGACGGUCCUAUGGAUUGUAAACUGCUUUUGUACAGGAAGAAACACUCCCUCGUGAGGGAGCUUGACGGUACUGUAAGAAUAAGGAUCGGCUAACUCCGUGCCAGCAGCCGCGGUAAUACGGAGGAUCCAAGCGUUAUCCGGAAUCAUUGGGUUUAAAGGGUCCGUAGGCGGUUUAAUAAGUCAGUGGUGAAAUCUGGUCGCUCAACGAUCAAACGGCCAUUGAUACUGUUAGACUUGAAUUAUUAGGAAGUAACUAGAAUAUGUAGUGUAGCGGUGAAAUGCUUAGAUAUUACAUGGAAUACCAAUUGCGAAGGCAGGUUACUACUAAUGGAUUGACGCUGAUGGACGAAAGCGUGGGGAGCGAACAGGAUUAGAUACCCUGGUAGUCCACGCCGUAAACGAUGGAUACUAGCUGUUCGGAGCAAUCUGAGUGNGUAGAGAAGAGAGUAAGUAAGUACCACCGUCGGGAGGUACGGUUCGGUCGAAGAAGUUAGUAAACGUUAACGAAAGGAAAGUUAGUUACGGCGUGAGGACGUUAGCCGACGGACGACGACGAGGGGAGGGAGGAGG
rnacentral:rRNA from 1 species